rnacentral:rRNA from 1 species
CAAUAGCGUAUAUUAAAGUUGUUGCAGUUAGAACGCUCGUAGUCGGAUUUCGGGGCGGGCCGACCGGUCUGCCGAUGGGUAUGCACUGGUCGGCGCGUCCUUCCUUCCGGAGACCGUCCCUACUCUUAACUGAGCGGGGGCGGGAGACGGGACUUUUACUUUGAAAAAAUCAGAGUGUUUCAAGCAGGCAGCUCGCUCUUGCAUGGAUUAGCAUGGGAUAAUGAAAUAGGACUUUGGUGCUAUUUUGUUGGUUUCGAACACCGAAGUAAUGAUGAGAAGGGACAGUCAGGGGCACUCGGAUUCCGCCGAGAGAGGUGAAAUUCUCAGACCAGCGGAAGACGAACCACUGCGAAAGCAUUUGCCAGGGAUGUUUUCACUGA